CCCACCCAUGGCUGCUGCUGGGUCCAGACAUUCGUGCAUGCCUCACUUGUUGCAAAGGGGUCUUCAGUCUUCUUUUGGUGCUCUUUUGGCAAAGGCUUCUCUUCUUCCUUGUUGUCCUUUGGAUAACCUUACAGCUGGCACAGGACAGGAACCGAGCGGCCGAGGACCUGCGCCGGGC